rnacentral:lncRNA from 1 species
UUUUUCCUUGCGAUGGAAUGACCAGCCUAUUUAUGGGAAGCUGCUUGUAUCUUGGGACACAAUAUUGACAAUAUUCUCAAGAGGAAAGUAAAAUUCAUGAAGUGCACAGCUGGGAGCCACUUCCUAGUCGCCCCUCCUUCUAGGGCCACAUACAGACUAACUACUAAACCACCUAGCAAAGCCCAGCUAGAAUGGAAUAAAACAAGGCUACUGUCUAGGGAUCCCCCGUGCCUCAUCUUUGAUGUUUGGGAGUAAUUUCUGCCUCUUUGUGGAAGUAAAG